rnacentral:sRNA from 1 species
UGGUAGCGUGAGGGAUGGAAGUGGUAUCCUUUUGCAAAUUAUAUGCAAAAGAUAUAACGUACAGCCCGACCCUUA